rnacentral:rRNA from 1 species
UACGUAGGGAGCAAGCGUUGUCCGGAAUCAUUGGGCGUAAAGCGCGCGUAGGCGGCCCUGUAAGUCCGUUGUGAAAGUCAAAGGCUCAACCUUUGAAAGCCGAUGGAUACUGCAGGGCUGGAGUCCGGAAGAGGCGAGUGGAAUUCCUGGUGUAGCGGUGGAAUGCGCAGAUAUCAGGAGGAACACCAUAGCGAAGGCAGCUCGCUGGGACGGUACUGACGCUAAGGCGCGAAAGCGUGGGAGCGAACGAGG